GUGACUGUUCUUGGUAAAGAUGGCAUUGUUAGUUGUACAGUGCCACCAUAGACAGUCACAUACAUAAAAACAGACGGUUCCUGCCGACAGGGUCUGUAUAGCUAUCAGAUUUUCUGUGCGAUGGUUCCAUACAUG